GUCUCCUAGGGAACAAGAAGAAUUUAGUGAUAAGAACCAAGGGUAAAUUUUAAGAUAGCAGACAGGAGUAGCUAAGGCCUGAAGACUUUGUAACCAGGAGAAAGUUCAGCUUGUCUUUCUAGUCAUGUCCUUGGAUUAAUGUCAGGAGGAAAAAGCCUUGAGUUCAGAAGUCAGACAUUCCCUUUCUGAUCUAAAACAAGGCCAAUAAUCACGAAGAGAGGUGUUGGGGAUACAAGAAAACAGAAAUCCUUCUGCUUAGCAAGCUAGAGCUUCCUGGGAUGAAAGACAAAUAUAGCAACAACAAUAAUAUCAAGGUUUAGCUUGAAGAGCCACACUUAUCAAGAGAAGAACAACCAGGAAUCUGCCACAGACUGAGGCAGGGAAACCCUAAAGAGCCACCACAACAGUAUGCUUUUUUUCAGUCAUUUUUGUGGUGUCUGUUUUUGACUACAAAAUGGUAAUUUCACAUGACUUAACCUAGUAUGUGUCUAUUCAUCUUCCCAACUAAUUAAAAAUUCUUUAUCAACAGGAUGUAUUAUCUUUUCUGUGAUUCAUAAUAAUUCAUCUAACUACUGCCCUUGGAUACAUUUAGUAAGCAACACAUUUUUUUCACUACUUUAUUUAUUUAUUUAUUUUAGUUUUUGGUACUAGGGAUUAAACCCACAGGUAUAAACCCCAAUCCCUGGUU